rnacentral:rRNA from 1 species
AAUUCGACGCAACGCGAAGAACUACCGGGUUUGACAUCCCGCGAACCCUUUGGAACGAAGGGGUGCCCUUCGGGGAGCGCGGAGACAGGUGGUGCAUGGUUGUCGUCAGCUCGUGUCGUGAGAUGUUGGGUUAAGUCCCGCAACGAGCGCAACCCCUACGUUUAGUUGCUAACAGGUGAAGCUGAGCACUCUAGACGAACUGCCGUUGACAAAACGGAGGAAGUGGGGAUGACGUCAAAUCAUCAUGCCCCUUAUGUUCUGGGCUACACACGUGCUACAAUGGCCGGUACAGACGGAGGCGAAGCCGCGAGGCGGAGCAAAUCCGAAAAAAGCCGGUCUCAGUUCGGAUUGCAGGCUGCAAUUCGCCUGCAUGAAGUCGGAAUCGCUAGUAAUCGCAGGUCAGCAUACUGCGGUGAAUACGUUCCCGGGCCUU